GGCUGGCUGCCUCCCCACCCUCCCAGCCUUCCUCAGACUCCCCAGGUAAGGGCAGGAGCCUGGGCGUGUCCUCCCCAUCCUUCCAGCCGGACCUCUGCUGCUUGAGGGUGGGGUUCUCCCACGGCUGCUCCCCCGCCCUGCUCCUGGCAGGUCUGGAUAUGUCGCCCGCCACCAGGAAGGACACCAAGAGUCAUUCCCAAGGCUUCACCCAGAAACCCUCUUCUCCCAAAUGGAUUUUCCGUUUCCUCGUCAGGUGCCUCCAGAGUGCAGCUACACCCUCACCCACACACUCAGGAUACUCACCCCACACCUGGGCUAGGGACGAGGGAGAAUUUCAUCAGGGCUGAAUCCAUGUAAGUCCUAGGAAAAUGUUUCCUUAAUGAUCUCAGGUCCCCCAAGUUUGGGCGGAAAAGGAGGCUACAGUCAGGGUUCAAGCUACCCGAAGACUUGGCUGAGAACCUUCCAGGCUGCCCGUCCCUGGGCAUCACCUUGCUUACAUCUCACUGGACGCUUUUAGCUGCUGUGGAGUCUGGGAUGUGCUCUCAGCCGGGUGCAUCGCCUCCAGAGUAGGAUGGCAAGGAAGAAGAAGAGGCAAGUGGGGUUGGGUGGACUACGGUAUCCCCAGAAACUUAGGGGUGUAGUUAGUUGCAGGAAGAGCCGUGCCGGUACCACUCACGGACUAAGAAAAUGCUGUAUGAUUUUGCAACCAGGAGGUUCCUAGUGAGCUCUGCAGGGGCAAAGGCUCAGCAGCGCACUGGAUUGGGAGCGGAGUGUGAUUGAAGACAGGUGACAAGGGUUAAACAGUGAGUGGACAGUGGGGAGGUGGAGAUGUAGGACCCAGACUUCCCCACAGAGCCCCCUGAGUAAAGAGCAGUGAGAAAGAGAGAGAGAGGAGAUACGCACACAGCUCCAGCCUUCACUUUCACUGUGCCUUUUCUUCUCCCGGCUCCGUCUUGACAAGACUCAAUAACUGUAAAAUUGACGGAUCUGAGCUUCGGUCUCUCUCUCUCCUUCUUCCUGGGGAAAGUGCUAACGAGGAACGGAAUGGCCAAAGGCUGAACCUCAGGAGGGAUAAGCAGGUCCCAAGAAAUACGUACCAGCUGAGGCUGAGCGCGGAGGAUUUUCUCCUUGACACAAAGCUGUUAAGUUCUUACUCUUUCUCCUGAUAGUCCUUGCUUUCUCCUUCCUGUCUUUUUAUUCUUCCUUUAUGAUCCUUUCUUUCUUCCAUUCCCAAUACAUAUGUCUUAAGUAGGGAGCUUAUAUUUCUUGACCACCUACUUAUGUGCCAGGUACUGGACUUGGGGUCUCAACUACAUUAUCUCAGUUCUCCCAGCAGCCUUUGUAGUGAUGUACAUUAUUACACUCAUUUUACAGAAGAGGAAAUUGAGGCUCACAGAGUUUAAGUAAUCGGUCAAGGUCACACAGCUAAGUGAACUGCCCCUGGGAAUUACUAGAUCUGUUGGAUUCCAAAGCACUUUUUCUCUCUAUUAUUUUCUGGAGGGUUUGUGAAGUGCUAUCAAGGGGCUAAAGAAACGUCAAUUACUCACUUGAGUCCAAGGUCACAAAAGAGACAUGGAACUGCUGCUUGCUUUUUACAAAGUCCAGAUCUGUCUUUCUGUCAAGUACCACUGAUCUACUAGUAGAAAUCCUCACAAGGAAGAGCUUGAGGAACCCACUGCUUUGCCGUCUGUCUCGGUUUUCCGGGAGCUCAGCCAGCCCCCCACCAGCCGGGGUGCUCAGCCUGCAGGCAGAGUGGUGAGGUCCAGCAGCCACGUGCUCCAUUUAUAGAAUCUCUCAGACAACCGAUAAAAGAGUAGCAACUUUCAGAGCAACUUGACAUUGGUGGAGUUUCUAACAGACACGGGCAUUUUCUGCUAUUGCUCCAAUAUUUUUCAUAAGAAGUAAAAGAGGGCUUUGGCCCUUACUUGGAUUAUUAGCAGUAAUGAAACAGCAAUAAAUUCUGGAAUGAAUCCACUGGCGGCCUUUCCAAGAACAAGCCUCAGCUCUGUCUCUCUCUCCCUCUCUCUCCCUCUCUCUGGACCAGUUACAUUUCUGAUCAUGCAGUGAGAUUCUUUCGUUUGUGGAAACCUACCCCAGAACAUAUUUUAGGUGGUGAAAGAAGCCAAGAGUGAUGGCUAAACGCUUAUUUGUUUAUUUUCUCAUUAAUUGGCUCUUUAGUGAACCGAAAAUAACCUAUUUGAUCAACAAACACAUAUUGAUCUCUCCCAAGGCUGAGUGAAUGUGAAAAGACACGAUCUGACGUAGUUAGAAAAGGGUAUCCUAAGCUGCGAUACUGGUUAAUCUUUUCAUUCCAAACGUCUGGUGGAACCCAUGGCUGAUAUUUUCAAAGAGAGAAGAGCGUGGGCUAUAGCAGUGGUGGCAGCUCCUCGGAAGCAUUUGUCUUUCACUUUGGAAAAACCUGGAUCCGGACACUGGGUUGUGCAACACGAAUAUUUUCCUUUAAAAGGCAAGUACAUACAGAGGUUACCCGUGGGGAACAGGAAGGGAGGGGGCAGCGGGGAGAAAACACUUCUCUACUAUUUGUCUUUGACCACGUAUCUAACCGAGCCUUCUUUUAAAAAACAGAAACUAGUUCAAUAAAAGCAAAAAACAACCCCUGCAAAAGAGGGGGCAAGAGCAGAGAGUGUUUUUGAAAAACUCACCCCCUUGGCCCAGAUUCACCGGAAACAUAUCGUUGCUGUUUCCCUCAAGCUGAUGUACCUAUCGUAAACGCCCGAGCACCUCUGUCAGCAAGAGCACCAAGUGGAAAUGCGGAUGGCAGGGUUUCGGGGCUGGGUCCUAACUUCUGAGUUGCUCUGUUUGGUUCUAGAUGUCACAGGCACCCGGCAAGCGUGAAGGGGAAAGCAUCCCCACCUGUCAGUGGAGAUUUUCGAGCUCAGAGACUGGUUCAUUCGGAGCCCCUGCCUGGUUCUGCGUGGAUGGGCAAUCUGGCUGCAGCGAGAAGAGAGAAUAACAAGAGAUGCUCUCUCCAUCUUCUGCACGCCCUUCCUGAAAAUACAGUUGACGCUUGAACAACGUGGGCGGUGCGGAACCUACCUCCCACACAGUCAAAAGUCUGCAGACCACUAUCUCUGCUGCAAGAACAAAGGAAGGGGUCGAUGACUCACCAGGGGCGGGAAGCUGGAACGCUUUGGAUAGAGUCAGGACUCAGACCCUAGUUCUUUUGAUUACACAUCCUGGGAUCCCUAAUCGAACACAAACUUUUCCUCACACUUAGUUCAUUUAAAGAUCUGUAAAGUGGAUAUAUAGGUACUAUAUUUACUGGAAAAGAAUCUGAGAAAGAAUAUACAUAUAUACACACACAUAUAUAUAUAUGUAUAAUACAUAUAUAUAUGAAUCACUUUGCUGUACACCUGAAACUAAUACAGCAUUGUAA